AUGACCAAUAAUGCACAAAAAUAAGCAUCAUUCAUAUUUCAUCGUUUAUGAGUUAUAAUCAAACAUAUGACCAUUUAUACACGAAUCAUUCAUAUAUUUCCCAAUUUUCCUCCUCCUCCUCUCCAUUCCACAUCCUUAAUGUGUAUAACACACUUAAACAACAUUAACCAUAAUUUCAAUAUUCACUAACAUGUAUAUUCAAAGCUGUUUAUCCGAGUCAGAGUCACUAAAUUAUUUUUAUCCGGAGCUACAGAGCUCCAAAUUAAGAUCCGUUAAUUUUUCCUGAAACUAGACUCACAUAUCUUCAUACCAUAAAAUUUUCAUAAUUUUUGGUUCAGCCAAAUAGUACAGUUUAUUCUUUAAAGUUUCCCCUGUUUCGCUGUCUGACAGUUCCGACCACUCUUCUCUAAAAAUUAAUUAUCUCAUUGUACAGAAUUCGGAUGAUGUUUUAGCUUGUUUCUUCUAAAAAUAGACUCAUUAAGGAUUCUAACCAUAUAAACUAUAACUCAUAAUAAUUUCUGUACAAUUUUUAAUGAUUUUCCAAAGUCAGAACAGGGGAACCCGAAUUCAUUCUGACCUUGUCUCACAAAAUAUAUUAUAUCUCAUGAUUUACAAUUCCAUUGCUCACAUCAUUUCUUUUAUAAGAAACUAGACUCAAUAAGCUUUAAUUUCAUAUUUUAUUCAUCCUCUAAUUCAAUCUCUACAAUUUUUGGUGAUUUUUCAAAGUUACACUACUGCUGCUGUCCAAAACUGCUUUAGUGCAAAAUGUUGAUUUCCAUUUUGCCCCAAAUUUCACAGUUUAUACAAUUCGGUCCUUUCUUAAUUAACCCCUCAAUUAAUCUAAUUUUCUCAAUUAGUACUUUACUAGACAUUAUAAGUUGUUACACAACUAUUGAAAUUCAGAAUUUCCACAUAUAACUCUAUCUUCAAACUGUUUUACUAUUAGGUCCCAAACAUUCACUUUCUAUUCAAUUCUUUCAAUAAAAUCAGCAUAUGAACAAUUUAAAGCUCUAAUUUCAUGCUAAAUCAUCAUAUACUUCCAGCACAUAUUCAUAUCAACUUUCAACUUCUUUCAUAAAAUCAAAAACUAAUGGAUUUAACAAGUGGGCCUAGUUGUAAAAGUCAUAAAAAUACAAAAAUUUCAAGAAAUAGUCAAGAAUUGAACUUACUUGUAAUAAAAAUAUGAAGAACCAGCUUGAAGAAGCCCUUCCAUGGUGUUUUAGCUGAUGAGAAUUCAAAAAAA
rnacentral:lncRNA from 1 species